AAGAGCUCUAUGACACCCAGACAAAAACCUGGUACGGUCUGAUUAUGGGCACUCAGGGUCGGGUCAGCGUCCCACUAUUUGGCUACCCAGCACCCACCAAGCUAAAGCUGGAAAAACAACAUGAUGCCAACAUGACAGACUUUUCAGUGGUAUACAAAGACACUUCUAUGCUCACGGGGAAUGUCACUGUUAUAUUCACAGUAGUAGAGGAGAAACACAUGGGAGUGUACAAACUGACUGUUGGAAAUGGAAUUGGUACAGACUUCAGCUAUGAUUUCCGUGUUUUCAAAGAUUCAACCAACAAGCUGAUGUCUUCUUAUGGUGUCUUGUAUCUGGCAAUGUUCCUGUGGGCUCUAGUCUGGAAAUUGGCUUGAAAUUGACUUUCAUCAACGGUGGUAUAAGCCCAGAGAACAAUUUUUGAAUUUCCUUUUUAUACAACUAAAUAAAUCUUUCAUGAACAUUUUAUGUCAAGCAAUUUUUUUAUAUUAAUUACUUGUGGUAAAUUAUUUUUCAAAUAUUCAUGGUUACACAUUAUUUUAUAAAAAUGAUAAAUUAAUUUAAUUAAUGUAUGGGUUAUCCAGUUUUAAUUCAAAAGAAAAUUGAUUUUAUCUUAAAUUAAUAUAAUUUUCAACUAAAAACUGCAUUUUUAAAGAAAAUCAACAAUGAGAUUACACACUUUUAACCAAUCAGAGAGCAGUUUUUAUUUUGUGUUUUUGUCUAAAACACUUUUUGGACAUGCCAUGCAAUGUCCUUCAAACAUUUAAAAAGCUAUGUAGCUGAAAUUUAGUAUAUAUUUUCAUAAUCCAAUAUUUUGUAAUUGGUCUAUUAAUAUUCAGUUCCUUGAAAGAUUUUAUGGAUACUGAUGUUAAUAUUUCGUCGAACCCUUAUUUUUAAAAAAAUAAUAAAUUACUUAUUUUUCAUCAGAAUUAAACAGAAGUAGAAACAAAUUUUAAUGUAUAUUAUUUGUUUGUCAUAUGUUUGCUAAUUUCCAGUUCUUUAAAUACUUUUUUUUUAUAAAUAUGCUACUAAAUACAAAAAUAAUUUUCUUCUUCGUUCUUAAUUAAAUAUUUGAUGAAGAAUUUAAACAAGCCCAACUUAGUUAUGAACUGGACUGUGGUCUCCAGAUCAGUGGGUGCCCCAUAUAGUUUUUCCUAUAAAUAUAAUAACAUUAUCCAUUAAGAUUUUUUUCAAGGUAACAAGAAUUUGAAACUAUAUUUUUUUUACAUAUUUUCAUGUGUAUAGUUAUUGUGUAAAAUAUUAGCCCCCCCUGUAUUCUUGAAGAAAGAUAAUUCUCUUUUUGUAUGAUAUUUAUCCUAAGAUAUCGAUGCAGUCGUGCUCUCCUUAACAUCAAGUGUUCAUUUUACAAAAUGAUGCAAUAAUAAAAGUAGUAGUACCCAGCCUUGCUUUGGUUUAACAGUUAUAACAAAUUGUAAAAAUAAAUGGCUAGUCUAUUGUUUAAAAUAUUAAUUAGUGCAUGUUAACUACAGAUAUAGUUAUCAGACUAAAACAGUUUAACAUUGCAUUUUAAUAAUGAAUAUAAUUUUUUAAUUCUGUAAAAAGGUAUAGAUUUUUUUUAAACAUUGUACCUAUAUCUUUACCUAGUCACAUAGAAAAAGUUAGUCAAGUUUUUUUUUAUUCUUUAAUUUCAAUCUAUUUUUGUCAAUAUUCUUCCACUGUAUAUAUUUUAAUUCAAUGUUUUAACUAUUAUACAUCUACUUGUCUUUAAUAAUGAGAUUUUAACAGGGUAUUAUUGGCUAUUUUUGGUGUUAUUGUUUUUUUUCUAUUCUUUAAUUUCAAUCUAUUUUUGUCAAUAAUCUUCCACUGUAUAUAUUUUAAUUCCAUGUUUGAACUACUACACAUCUUCUUGUCUUUAAUAAUGAGAUUUUAACAUGGUAUUAUUGGCAUUAAUAAACAUUGCUUUAACUGUGACAAGAGACAACUCUUUAUCAAAUCGUUUUUAUCAUACUUAUUUUAAAAUGUUUAUCUUUUUAUAUAGUUUUAUUGCUAAAAUAUUUCAAAAUAACAAUAUUAACUCAUAAUAAACUGAAGAUUUUCAUAGAUAUAUUUUGAAAAUAUAUUUUAGCAAACAGUACCUUCCUUUCUUAAAACCAUCAGAAUAUGUCCACUCUACUUAACUUGCCCUAAAAUAUUUAUAAUAUUUAUUAACUUGGUUGGAGUUUGUUCUAUUUCUGUUCACUUACAAUUAAUUCCUGAUUACUAUUAAAGCUAUUAAAAUUUAGUGUUUUGUUAAGUGUAAUUCAGAGCCGUAGCGAGAGUGGGGGGGACGGGACAUAUGUACCCCGGCGCCGACCUU